UACAGAGGUCUCAAGCGUUGUUCGGAUUCAUUGGGCGUAAAGGGUGCGUAGGUGGGCAGGUAAGUCAGUGGUGAAAUCUCCGGGCUUAACUCGGAAACUGCCAUUGAUACUAUCUGUCUUGAAUACCGUGGAGGUCAGCGGAAUAUGUCAUGUAGCGGUGAAAUGCUUAGAUAUGACAUAGAACACCAAUUGCGAAGGCAGCUGGCUACACGAAUAUUGACACUGAUGCACGAAAGCGUGGGGAUCAAACAGG
rnacentral:rRNA from 1 species